rnacentral:rRNA from 1 species
ACUGCUCAGUAACACGUAGUUAAUCUGCCCUUAGGUUAUGGAUAUCCACGGGAAACUGUGGCUAACACGUAAUAGGGGUUUGUCGUUGGAACACGACCACCCUGAAAACUUAGAUGCCUAAGGAUGAGACUGCGCAUGAUUAGCUAGUUGGUGGGGUAACUGCCUACCAAGGCUAUGAUCAUUAGGGGCUCUUAGCGGAGUCGCCCCGAGAAGGAAUCUGAGACACUAUUCCUAGCUCUACGGAGUGCAGCAGUCGCGAAUCUUUUACAAUGCACGAAAGUGUGAUAAAGCGAGCCAAAGUGCUUUUCGUAUAGAAAAGCUUUUCUUCACUGUAAAAAUGUGGAGGAAUAAGGACUGGGUAAGAUCGGUGCCAGCCGCCGCGGUAAUCCCGACAGUCCAAGUCGCAUCCAAUUUUAUUGGGUCUAAAACAUCCGUAGCUUGUUUUUUAAGUCUCUUGUGAAAUCCUACAUCUCAAGUGUAGGUCGUGCAAGAGAUACUGAAUUACUAGAGAUCGGUAGAUGUAAGGAGUACACCGGAGGUAGUGGUAAAAUACGUUAAUCUUCGGUGGACUAACAAUCAGCGAAGGCACCUUACAAGGACGAAUCUGACAGUGAGGGAUGAAGGCCAGGGGCGCAAAACGGAUUAGAUACCCGUGUAGUCCUGGCAGUAAACACUGCUCACUAAACAUCGGGCCCUCUUCGGGAGGAUUCGGUGCUGAAGCGAAGGCGAAGAGUGAGCUACCUGGGAAGUAUAGUCGCAAGAUCGAAACUUAAAGGAAUUGGCGGGGGAGCA